rnacentral:lncRNA from 1 species
UUUGGUCUUCAUUUGCUUCUAGAAAGAAUCUCUAGACCUCUCUCUUAGAACAACGAAACAUCCUACUCUCUUCAACAGCGUCUCCUUCCUCCUCCUCCAAUGGACAACAUCUCCCCUCCAGGCUUCCCUCAUUCCUUCUCCUCCGUUGGACAACAUCUCCUCCGCUCUUUCUCUGGGUAUUUAUUUCAUCUCUAUUUUCCCUCAUAUCCCUUCUUUUCGUUCAAUUUUUUUUUUUGAUCUCUCAGAAGCGUUUUUAUAUUUCUGUGUUUGUCUACAUCAUUUUUUUGUAUUACUGUGUUUGGAUGUUAAUCAAUUGAAUUGCUCCAACUAAUUUAAAAAUAUAAAUUCGGAUAUCCUAGUGGGUUUUCUGUGCAAAUUUCGUUUUAGUUAUGAUAAGGUGUUUAUGGAUUUGGAAUUUUAUGUGUUUAUGGAUUUUGGAAUUUUCAAUAUGAUUUCCAAUUUCCUUUGCAGCAUUCUUUUAUAGGUUUUUGAAGUAUCUAUGUGAUUUAUGUACGAUGCAUGGACACGCGAGAAAGCCACCGUAUCCUGUAUCUGACACGCUGAGGAUACGGAUACGCGGAUGAUACGCAUGGAUACGUGUUCGAUACGUAUGGGAGUGAAAGGAGUGAAAGGAUACGUUUGGGAUUGAUGAGAUACGCGUAUCGUAUUGUUCGGAUACGUGUAUCCUACUUUUCGGAUACAUUUGAAACUGAAAUAGGAGGAUAAUCACAAAAAAAAUCACAAAAAAUCCACAUAGAAUCGUGAUUGAUUGAACUUAGUUAACUGAAAUCACUCUAAAAUCAGAGGAUAAAAAGGUCGUACCCAGUGCACAAGGCUCCCGCUUUACGCAGGGUCUGGGAGAGGUGAAUGUCGGCUAGCCUUAUCCCCAUUUAUGGAGAGGCUGCUCCCAAGUCUCGAACCCGAGACCUACCGCUCAUCAGAGGAUAAUCAGAAAAAAAAUAAAAUUCGGAUUUACCUCUCAGAAAUCACUCUGUUUGGCAGACUUUCACGAAUCCCCAUUGACCGUCAUCUGCAACUGUUCUGUGACCCGUCGUCUCCAUCUGCACCUGCGCCGUCGUCUCCCUCUUCUUCGUCUACAACUGCUCCGUCGUCUCCUUCAUCUGUCUGCAACUCCUGGUGAGUGGUAACCGGUGAGCUUUCGUUGUUUUCGCCAAUCUCAGCUUUUACUGAUUCAACCCAUUCGAAGACAAUAAUAUUAUAAUACCCAUUCGAAGACAAUCUAAUUUCCCGAGCACAAUAAUAUAAUAUUAUAGUACCCAUCCAUUCCACUACCCCAUAGUCCAUUCAAAUCUGACGACUUUUGCUUUUCUGUUUUUAACUUUUUAGUUAUUAUAAUAUUAUUGUAUUUUGUAUAUUAUAAUAUAUUAUUAGGUAGUAGUAUGGAUAUUUAGAUUAUAAUAACUUUGUUUUUCAAGUUUUAAGACUAAUUGCUUGUUGGAUAGACUAUCUUUCUUACUGUUUAGAGUUUAUUGAAUAAUAAAUUUGAAUGCUUAUUUUAUAAUGUUUUAGAUAUAUUUAUUUUUAUUUAUUUAUUUAUUUAUACAUAUUUUUAAUUGCCGUAUCCCUAACGUAUUGUGUCCUCGUUUUUUGAAAUUUAACGUAUCCUCAUAUCGUAUCGUGUCGUAUUCACGUAUCCGUGUCCGUGUCCAUGCAUUCCAAGACAUCAUGACUUCAGUACACAUCUGAUCUCCAUCUCUGCUUUGUUCAUACAGUUGAAAGAUUAGCCUAGAGUCCCCGUUAGUUCUUAUUUCCUAAAUAAUUGUGAAUUAAUGGUGCAGGGGCAACUCCGAAGUUGGUUCUUCAAUUGAUGAAUUUUAAGGGUCUGGGUAUUACUCAUGUCAAGAGUCAUCUUUAAGUAAUUGAUUUGAUCCAAUCAAUUUCAUGAUCUAUAUAUAUUUUUCUGUACUAAUUGUACUAUAUAUAUAAGAUUCAAUACUUUGAUUAAAUAUAAAUUAAGGGUUCAUCUCUGAUUAAUAUUGUUCUACAUUUUCUGCUUUGAUUUUCAUCAUCAGAUGUAUAGGAGCAAGAAGAUGGAAGAGCCCAAUCAAGGUGAACAAAUUAACAAAUUGCACAGAGGCUCAUCUACUCUUCCAAUCAUUAAUACAAAAGUUAGGGUUUACAUAUUUAUAAACUUGAGAGAUCUUGCUUUCUUAUUAUAUGACAGAUCUAGCAUAAUAGCUCCAAUCAAACGCAUAGUGUCUAUUUUAAUUUUCUCAGUGUUAAAUGGCCACUUCUCCUUUACAAAAUGGUGCGCUGAUGAGCAGAUAUUAUAUUAUAUAUUUUACCCUAUUCUUAGUUAUAAUUUAUUAGUUUAUUUUGGUGAAUUUUGAUACUUUUGUGAUGUAUUUUCAAUUUAGGACAUCCGACUUCCUCUUGAGAAAAAAAGUGAUCAAACGGACAAAUUUUGUAGUGAUUCCAAUUGGAGGAUGUUCGUGAGUCUUUCGAGAUGAUUGUAUCAAAAUUCCAGGUUUCUCUACGAAGCCGUUUGACCGUGAUGAUGAAAUAAAGAUCCAGCGCGCAGCUUUCCCAGAUUGAUGUUUCUGAACGUUUUGGAUAUUUUGGAGGUCAAGAUGGCAUAUUUUGAGUAAGAUUCAUUCUUAGGAUUUGUAGGGGACGUUUUCAGCUUUUAAAAGAGAUAUUUUGGGACCAAAUCGGAAUUGAUUUGGUCGAUCAAAAGACUAAUUUUAUGAUAAUUCCGAAUUUUAGUUCAAAUAGGAAAUCUUUUAUUUUCUGUUUUAUUAUUUUAUUAUGUUUCUUAGUUUUAUUCUAAGGAAAACUAAUGAAAAUGACUUGAAAACUUUGAGUUUUAAUGAUAAGGAUAAAAUAAAGGGUAAAAUGAAUAGUAUCAUGUUUGACUUUUUAGUGUAAAAAUGUGGUUUUUCGUUAAAGUGAAUAGUACCGUGGACUUUUCGCUGAAACUCCCUUUAUUCUAAGACCUUUUCUAGGUAGGAUUUUAUUUUAUAAUAGUAUAAAUAAGGCUUUUUAGCCAUUAGGGUAAAAGGACGCAACAUUGGGGGAAGGGAGCACGCACUAAUUUAAAGAGUCUUUCAAGUUUAUUUUCUAGUGUUUUCUAUCCUUAUUUUUAAUAAUAUUUUGUUUAUGGUUGUUUGUAACUAAUUUCCGUUUGCUAGGGCGAAGUCUUGAGCCUUAGCAUGAAUAUGUAGUCUUUAUUCAAUUGCUUAUGAUAUUAUGCAUGUAUACUUUUGAAUUAUUAAUCACUGUGCUUAAACUGUCUUUGUGCCUUAAUGCUUCGCGACCAUUAGGAUGUUUAGAUAAGUAAUUUGAUGCAAUUUGGUUGGAAUAUCACCGGAGGAUUGAGUAUUACUUUUUGUGAUUAAUAAUAAUUGUAAUUUCACCUAAGACGAAUAUCACGCUCUUAAGGGUUGCAUGGUUUUUCAAAAGGGUUUUCCACAAAACUUAAUGAGUCUUGCAUGUUCAUAUUUGAUCUGAAUAUCACAGACGGAUUGCAUGUUAGAUAUACGUUCUUGCUUGAAUAUUACGAGGAGAAUAUGCAUAAGGAAAACAUAACCUUCAAAGUUACAUGUGUAAUUUAUAAGUAAAUGGUAAAACUACAUAGGAUUGUUAGGAGGACGGCGGAACCCUAGGCUUUUACAAUUUGGUUUUCAAAACUAUUUUCUUUAGUUUUUCUUUGUCAAUUUAUUUAAUUGUUUUUAUUAAAUUCGUUUUUAUUAUUUUAGGUCAUAAAUCAAACAUUUUCCAAAUCUUGUUUUAAAUAGUUAAUUAAGAAUUAGUUUAAAUACAAAUUAUUUAUUCAAUCACUGUGGACACGACCUUGCUUGAGCCGUUUAUACUACAACUACCUUGUUCUUUUGCAAGUAUUUUUAAAUGUUUUUAUCCUUACUUUUGCAGGUGGUAAAAUCCUUAUCAAGAAAUUAGUACCGUUGCCGGGGAUUGUUUCAAAUAAUUUGUGUUUAUCAUAUUCUUAUUUAAUUAUUUUUGUAAAUAUCUUUUUAUCUAGUUGUUGAUCUUAUUUUUAUUUUUGUAGGUUAUUGUUUGAUUAAUUUUGAGAGCAAUUCAAUGAUGAAAGCUACCGGAAGGAGGAUUGCCUUUAUGGGUUUAUUUAGCAGAAAAGGGAUUUUAUGGAUUUAAACCUACAGUUUGUGCCCUUUGUUGUUUAAAGAGCUAUGAUAUUUUGCAAUGCCCUGAAAGAGAAUGUUUUCCUGAGUUUGUCGAAAAGUAUAUCAAUAUGAGAAACAACUCAAAAAGGCAUUGGAACAAUCCCUAUUCAGAGUUCUACACUCCAG